GUACUUGCUUUGGCAGGAUAUAUAUUAAAAUUGGAAGAAUACAGAAAAGAUUAGCAUGACUCCUGCUCAAAGAUGAUAUGCACAUUUGUGAAGUGUUCCAUAUUGUC